rnacentral:rRNA from 1 species
UACGUAGGGUGCGAGCGUUAAUCGGAAUUACUGGGCGUAAAGCGUGCGUAGGCGGUUCGUUAAGUCAGCUGUGAAAGCCCCGGGCUCAACCUGGGAACUGCGGUUGAAACUGGCGAACUAGAAUCUGGCAGAGGGGGGUGGAAUUCCACGUGUAGCAGUGAAAUGCGUAGAGAUGUGGAGGAACACCGAUGGCGAAGGCAGCCCCCUGGGCUGAGAUUGACGCUCAGGCACGAAAGCAUGGGGAUCAAACAGG